AUACAUGCAAGUCGAACGAACUUCCGUUAAUUGAUUAUGACGUACUUGUACUGAUUGAGAUUUUAACACGAAGUGAGUGGCGAACGGGUGAGUAACACGUGGGUAACCUGCCCAGAAGUAGGGGAUAACACCUGGAAACAGAUGCUAAUACCGUAUAACAGAGAAAACCGCAUGGUUUUCUUUUAAAAGAUGGCUCUGCUAUCACUUCUGGAUGGACCCGCGGCGUAUUAGCUAGUUGGUGAGGUAAAGGCUCACCAAGGCAGUGAUACGUAGCCGACCUGAGAGGGUAAUCGGCCACAUUGGGACUGAGACACGGCCCAGACUCCUACGGGAGGCAGCAGUAGGGAAUCUUCCACAAUGGACGCAAGUCUGAUGGAGCAACGCCGCGUGAGUGAAGAAGGGUUUCGGCUCGUAAAGCUCUGUUGUUAAAGAAGAACGUGGGUAAGAGUAACUGUUUACCCAGUGACGGUAUUUAACCAGAAAGCCACGGCUAACUACGUGCCAGCAGCCGCGGUAAUACGUAGGUGGCAAGCGUUAUCCGGAUUUAUUGGGCGUAAAGCGAGCGCAGGCGGUCUUUUAAGUCUAAUGUGAAAGCCUUCGGCUCAACCGAAGAAGUGCAUUGGAAACUGGGAGACUUGAGUGCAGAAGAGGACAGUGGAACUCCAUGUGUAGCGGUGAAAUGCGUAGAUAUAUGGAAGAACACCAGUGGCGAAGGCGGCUGUCUGGUCUGCAACUGACGCUGAGGCUCGAAAGCAUGGGUAGCGAACAGGAUUAGAUACCCUGGUAGUCCAUGCCGUAAACGAUGAUUACUAAGUGUUGGAGGGUUUCCGCCCUUCAGUGCUGCAGCUAACGCAUUAAGUAAUCCGCCU
rnacentral:rRNA from 1 species